ACUCCUACGGGAGGCAGCAGUGAGGAAUAUUGCGCAAUGGAGGAAACUCUGACGCAGCCACGCCGCGUGCAGGAAGAAGGUCCUAUGGAUUGUAAACUGCUUUUAUUCGGAAAGAACAAACGGGUUUCGACCUGUUCUGACGGUACCGAUUGAAUAAGCACCGGCUAACUCCGUGCCAGCAGCCGCGGUAAUAC
rnacentral:rRNA from 1 species